GGCUUCUCAGCCUCCACGUUCUCUUGUAGAGCAGCAGCAUCUGUGAAUUUUCACAAAGUGGAGCUCCUGAAAGAGACCGGGCAAAUGGGAACUAAGGAGGAAAAAACGAAAGGCGGACACACUCAGUGACCUCUGGGGCAGGUGAGCGGUGGCCUCACCUGACACCCGCCCGCGGGGAUGCACCCAGCAUGAGGUAGGGAGCUCGUUACAAUUAAAUUUCCCAAUACUGAUAACUGUGCUCAGGCUGUCAGGAAAUACACAAUGAAGUAUCUAAAAAUUAGAGAACCACUAUGUCCACAACUUACUAUCAAAUGGAUCAGAAAAAGAUAGAUAGAUAGAUAGAUAGAUAGAUAGAUAGAUAGAUAGAUGAUUAGAUAGAUUAGAUAGAU
rnacentral:lncRNA from 10 species